UACAGAGGGUCUCAAGCGUUGUUCGGAUUCAUUGGGCGUAAAGGGGUGCGUAGGCGGCGCGGUAAGUCGGGUGUGAAAUUUCGAGGCUUAACUUCGAAACUGCAUUCGAUACUGCCGUGCUUGAGGACUGGAGAGGAGACUGGAAUUUACGGUGUAGCGGUGAAAUGCGUAGAUAUCGUAAGGAAGACCAGUGGCGAAGGCGGGUCUCUGGACAGUUCCUGACGCUGAGGCACGAAGGUCCAGGGGAGCAAACGGG
rnacentral:rRNA from 1 species